rnacentral:rRNA from 1 species
AGUGAACGCUGGCGGUAGGCCUAACACAUGCAAGUCGAACGGCAGCACAGUAAGAGCUUGCUCUUACGGGUGGCGAGUGGCGGACGGGUGAGGAAUACAUCGGAAUCUACUUUUUCGUGGGGGAUAACGUAGGGAAACUUACGCUAAUACCGCAUACGACCUACGGGUGAAAGCAGGGGAUCUUCGGACCUUGCGCGAUUGAAUGAGCCGAUGUCGGAUUAGCUAGUUGGCGGGGUAAAGGCCCACCAAGGCGACGAUCCGUAGCUGGUCUGAGAGGAUGAUCAGCCACACUGGAACUGAGACACGGUCCAGACUCCGACGGGAGGCAGCAGUGGGGAAUAUUGGACAAUGGGCGCAAGCCUGAUCCAGCCAUACCGCGUGGGUGAAGAAGGCCUUCGGGUUGUAAAGCCCUUUUGUUGUGAAAGAAAAGCAGCAGGUUAAUACCCCGCUGUUCUGACGGUACCCAAAGAAUAAGCACCGGCUAACUUCGUG